GCGUGAGUGAUGAAGGCCUUAGGGUUGUAAAGCUCUUUUACCAGGGAUGAUAAUGACAGUACCUGGAGAAUAAGCUCCGGCUAACUCCGUGCCAGCAGCCGCGGUAAUACGGAGGGGGCUAGCGUUGUUCGGAAUUACUGGGCGUAAAGCGCGCGUAGGCGGCUUUGUAAGUUAGAGGUGAAAGCCCGGAGCUCAACUCCGGAACUGCCUUUAAGACUGCAUCGCUAGAAUCAUGGAGAGGUGAGUGGAAUUCCGAGUGUAGAGGUGAAAUUCGU
rnacentral:rRNA from 1 species